CUCAACUUCCUGCGGAGGACGCGCUCUGGGCUUAACGGUCUGGACGUGGAGUCCGCGUGGUUACUUUGAAAAAAUUAGAGUGCUCAAAGCGGGCUUACGCUUGAAUAUUUCAUCAUGGAAUAACACUAUAGGACUCCUGUCCUAUUUCGUUGGUCUCGGGACGGGAGUAAUGAUUAAGAGGAACAGUUGGGGGCAUUCGUAUUUCAUUGCCAGAGGUGAAAUUCUUGGAUUUAUGAAAGACGAACUUUCUGCGAAAGCAUUUGCCAAGGACGUUUUCAUUAAUCAAGAACGAAAGUUGGGGGCUCUAAGAUGAUUAGAUACCAU
rnacentral:rRNA from 1 species